CUGGCUUUGAACUCAAGAGUUUUUCCUCACUAUUUCUGAGUGUUGGAGGGCAGGACUAUGCUACCUCGCUUCUCUUUGUUCAGAUCUGUCUGUGCCUCUUUCUGAAGUUUCUGAUCUGAGACCCGCCGCAUCUUUCACUCCAUUUCCACUCCAGAGAGCCCUCUUUUGGUUUCUGAAAUCUUUCUUAGCUUAGGAAAUUGUCCCCCACACCUUCUGUGUUUACUUAGGAGCUUACCCAUGUGUUGUGGAUGUUGUGCAGACCCCGGGCUCGGCAAACACAAGGACCUUUUGCAACACGAAGCUCCAGCAGGUUUUCAAUAAAGCCAGGUUAAAAUGUGAAUGACUCCCCAAGCAGAUCUUCACGCUGCACCAGGUAAGCAGAGGCUCAGCAGGGAGAUGUAGUUGUACCAGUGCUGCCCUUUCUUCCAUCCCCAGCUUGGAAGGUGCAGGGCUUGGAUUUGCACCCAGGGCUGCUUGGCCUGAGGCUGGAGCCUCUAACCAUUUGGCCACCUGGCUUCCCAAGCCCAGGAAUUGGUGACUGCUGUCAGCAGUAAGGGUCUAUACAAGUGGGAACUCCAAGCUGGAGACAUGAUCUGAGUGCCAAGGCGCCCACGUGUCGGUGAGCACUUCAAGGCAUCUCAAGAGAGACACGUUGGUGGCGGUGCCCUGAAAGCCUGCUGCUCUCACACGGCCAUUGCUGAUUGUUAAAAUAAUGGUACAGGCUUUGUGUUCA
rnacentral:lncRNA from 1 species